UCGGAUAUGGUGUAACGGCUAACAUUGCUGCCUCUCAUUCAGUAGAGUUUGGUCCGCAGCAGCUCGGGGUUCGAUUCCCCGUAUCCGAA
rfam:Coprinopsis cinerea okayama7#130 chromosome 2 cont3.2, whole genome shotgun sequence.